rnacentral:snoRNA from 1 species
AAAAAAGUAAGGAUCUGUUGUCAUUCUAUAAGAACAGAUCUCUCGGAUGCUUCAGGUAGAUCACUGGCAUUGUUUGUGGGUGAGUCUGUUUUCAUUUGACAUGAUAAUGUGACUCAAUACACAGUGCCAUAUUU